rnacentral:rRNA from 1 species
UACGUAGGGUGCGAGCGUUAAUCGGAAUUACUGGGCGUAAAGCGUGCGCAGGCGGUGAGCUGUGUCGGUCGUGAAAGCCCCGGGCUUAACCUGGGAAUGGCGAUGGAAACUGGCUUGCUGGAGUGCGGCAGAGGGGGGUGGAAUUCCGCGUGUAGCAGUGAAAUGCGUAGAGAUGCGGAGGAACACCGAUGGCGAAGGCAGCCCCCUGGGUCGACACUGACGCUCAGGCACGAAAGCGUGGGGAGCAAACAGG